rnacentral:rRNA from 1 species
GGGUUGUGAGGUUAAGCGACUAAGCGUACACGGUGGAUGCCCUGGCAGUCAGAGGCGAUGAAGGACGUGCUAAUCUGCGAUAAGCGUCGGURAGGUGAUAUGAACCGUUAUAACCGGCGAUUUCCGAAUGGGGAAACCCAGUGUGUUUCGGCACACUAUCAUUAACUGAAUCCAUAGGUUAAUGAGGCGAACCGGGGGAACUGAAACAUCUAAGUACCCCGAGGAAAAGAAAUCAACCGAGAUUCCCCCAGUAGCGGCGAGCGAACGGGGAGGAGCCCAGAGCCUGAAUCAGUGUGUGUGUUAGUGGAAGCGUCUGGAAAGGCGUGCGAUACAGGGUGACAGCCCCGUACACAAAAAUGCACAUAUUGUGAGCUCGAUGAGUAGGGCGGGACACGUGGUAUCCUGUCUG